rnacentral:rRNA from 1 species
AGUGAACGCUGGCUGUAGGCCUAACACAUGCAAGUCGAACGGCAGCACAGUAAUAGCUUGCUCUUACGGGUGGCGAGUGGCGGACGGGUGAGGAAUACAUCGGAAUCUACUUUUUCGUGGGGGAUAACGUAGGGAAACUUACGCUAAUACCGCAUACGACCUACGGGUGAAAGCAGGGGCUCUUCGGACCUUGCGCGAUUGAAUGAGCCGAUGUCGGAUUAGCUAGUUGGCGGGGUAAAGGCCCACCAAGGCGACGAUGCGUAGCUGGUCUGAGAGGAUGAUCAGCCACACUGGAACUGAGACACGGUACAGACCCCUACGGGAGGCAGCAGUGGGGAAUAUUGGACAAUGGGAGCAAGCCUGAUCCAACCAUACCGCGUAGCUGAAGAAGGCAUUCGGGUUUUAAAUCCAUUCUGUUGGGAAAGAAAAGCAGCAGGUUAAUACCCCGCUGUUCUGACGGUACCCAAAGAAUAAGCACCGGCUAACUUCGUG